GGUGUGGAUGGUGUUUAAAAGGGAUGGUUAUGCAAACGGUAGAGGAGGAAAAAAAUGAAAUGGGUGUGGUGAAUUUAUAUGUGGGUAAUCUCAAAUGGAUGUUGUUUGGCUAGGCCAAAUAUUCAACCACUAUGAACAAGUGGUUAUUGAUGUUGCCCUAAGAUCAGCAUUCUCCUGUGUGUAUGUCUAUUGGUGCGCGGUCGAAAAUUUAACCCAAUUGGUUACUGUAGAUGAUUAGUGCUUCCAAUUCCUUGAGAUGUUUAUUCUUCUUAUUGGGGGAGUGUGUGUGUGUGUGUUUAUUUGUCACCUUCUGUUGAGUUCUUUAUUUGUGUACAAUCUAUGGAUGUGAGGAUGCUGGAGGACGUGAAGCACUUGACCAAGCUUUUGCAAAAUUUUCGUUGCUGAAUCAGCAAUAGUUUGUUUGCAGGCCUGGGCAAGAGGUGGGCUAUAAUUUCAACCCCGUUGGACUCUCAUGGAUUGGGUUCCUUGCAAGAUUUUGGAGUGAAGUACCGAGAAGUGCCCAU